rnacentral:rRNA from 1 species
UACGUAGGGUGCAAGCGUUGUCCGGAAUUAUUGGGCGUAAAGAGCUCGUAGGUGGUUUGUCGCGUUGUUCGUGAAAACUCACAGCUCAACUGUGGGCGUGCGGGCGAUACGGGCAGACUAGAGUACUGCAGGGGAGACUGGAAUUCCUGGUGUAGCGGUGAAAUGCGCAGAUAUCAGGAGGAACACCGGUGGCGAAGGCGGGUCUCUGGGCCGAUACUGACGCUGAGGAGCGAAAGCGUGGGGAGCGAACAGG